rnacentral:tRNA from 1 species
GCGCCCGUAGCUCAACGGAGAGAGCACCCGGUUUCUACCCGGUCGGUUGGGGGUUCGAAUCCCUCCGGGCGCA